AGAUGUCAACGUGAUUGGGUGCGAAGUUAGCGCUUGAUUUUUUAUUUCACAUUUUUGCAAUUUUCACAAAAGUUGUGUUUUAUCAAAACUAUCGUAUUGAUUUUGGUUCUCGCACCUUUUCUGACUGAAGAAAUGGGAAUUCCAGUCCGUGACCAGAAAUUUGGGAAUAUGUGAAAGUGGGGUGAAGAAGAAACGUAGUCAACAAACCUGAAUAUCCAGGAGCACAUUUGCAAAGAUAGUCGUUUGAACCCGACGGUUGGAAACAAACCCCAUGGACGCAGUCGUGAUGUUGGCAAG